AAGGAUUUGAUUGAGAAAUGAGGAAGAACCACGAUGGAAGAGGAAGGAAAGAAACGGUUCCAGAGUGGAAAACAUUGUCUCCAGGAAACCGAGGACCAGGUCUCUCCAUCUGCAAAGGCCCUCUGCUCCCCACAGAGGGUGAAAAUCAGGUCAGCUUGUUAUUUUAAGCUUCCAUCGCAAAGAGACUGCCUGUCUGCGUGUUCCCAGGCUCUUAAUGGCGAAAACCUGUCUCUCUAGGAAGUUCACUGAAACGGAUUGAGGUUAACCUCGACAGCGGUUGCUGCAGGGACCAGAAUACUGCUCUGGAGGACAAAGUGGUAGAUUCCCCCGUGACCCUUUGAAGGGGGACCUGCUUGGGGAGAACAGCAGCACCUCCUGGUCCUUUGCACGCUGCGAAGGGGGAGGAUGCCGGUAGGGAAGGAAGUCAGGGAAGCCAGAUCGCAGAGCGGCAGGCGUAGUUUCUGGGAACCGAGGCUGGCCCGCAUCCCUCCCUCCUCCCCGGCAUUCCUGCAGAUUGCUGCCCCUGCUUCACUGGAGAAAGGGCUGUGCUCCUGGACAGGACGCUCAGCAAACACCUCAGUGACAGUUUGAGGAUCGCUCUUAAGAGGACCAUGCAGGAGGAAGGAACUUGGGCCUCUGUUGUGGUUUAUCUUUUUCAUGGAGUUGUUACUGAUGGAUUCAUUUUAUGCUGGAAAGAAUGAGCAAGGAAAAUGUUCUCACCACAGGACCAGUUAGGAACUGCAUGUGCCUCGGCCUUUACGGGAAUAACUUGCUGACCUUCGUUCUGGAGUUCUGAGCACUUCCUCUGGGUCAGAGAUCAGACCACUGAAAGAGGCAAUUCUCCUACUCUGCCAUCUGCUCACAGCUUAUCAAGUCUCAUCAGCACUGCCUGGAUCUUCUUCCUCUGUGGCUUGGCAAGACUGUAUCACCAGGGGCAAGUGAUCAAGGAGCAAGAAUCGAGUUCAUGACAGAGGCAGCCCCUGCUCCCCUCCCUCGGGAGCCCACAUGGAGACUGAGCUGCCAAUCGGCUACAUCUGAGCAGGGGGUCUAGGUCUUCUCCGUGCAAGGUCCCAAAGAACAGUUUUAAUGUAAGGUAUUCUGUGGGAAUUACAAAAUCAAGAACACUAUAA